CGCCCCCGCCGCCCAUACCCCGUGCUUCGCCGCGCCGCCGCCGCAUCCCUGACCCUUGCCCCUCGCGCCAGCGCUCUCGCCUCCCCCUCUCGCUCGCCAAUGCCGCCACUCCGACAUCCCCCUCGCGCCGCUCUCGCCUCACUCUAGCGCUCGCCGUCACCACCGCUCCGUUGUCCCCUCGCGCAACCCUCGCUACACCACACACGCCGCUGGCCCGUAGCUCCCAGCCUGUAGCCGCCCCUGACCCAUGUCUCGGUCGACCGCUAGCCCCUCCGCUGCUGUGCCCGCCAUCUGCGCCCCCGGACCCGCGCUCCCGGCCCACGCCCAGCGCCCGCCGCCGCCCAGUGCCAUCCGCGCCCCAGGGCCUCGGACCCGCGCCGCCGGCCGGUGGCGGUCACCGGACGCUACGCCGAGGAAGCAAGGCUGUAGGCAGGCACGGAGCUGCGGGGGGCCGAGCAGGUGAGGAGGCCGCGAGCCGCAGUUGGAGGCGAGAAGAGGUGCAGUCGGCACGGACUCGUGAGCUACGUGCGGAGACGAGGAGCUCGUGUGCCCACCGGCGGUCUGGCACUCGUCGCGCAGGAGCGUAGUGGAUGAACUCGGCGUGGCCACCGGACGUCGGGCGCGGAGCACGGCGUAGCGGCCUGCGGAGCUUGCCGCUGCCUGUACAGGCAGGCACCAGCGCUCGUGGCCCGCGAGGUGCGUGGGGGAUGGGAGCAGUAGGGCCGACCAGCACGCCCCCAACCAGCAUCAUCAGCGCCCCAGCCCCCCGCCCUCACGCUUGCCGACCCCAGCCGCCCAACACCACCGCCGAGGCGGGUCGGCUGCAGGCAUCUGCCAGUGAUGUAUUCCUCCCCGCCGAGCAUGCCAGUGAUGCCAUCCUGCCCCUCCCCGCCCGCAACACCGACCCCAGCGCUGCCUGGUGGAGGGAAUUCUUCAACACCUCGCCCAACAGUGUCAAGUAUGCCGAUGAGGAGUGGCUUCAGAUGUGCUGGGAACUCCUCUGUGGUUUGUUCAUCCCACCUGCCAUCGGUUAAUAUAUUGUUCAAUCACAGGUACUAAAUGUUUUGUGAAGUGAAUUUCAUCAAACCUCCUGAUAUUAUUUGAAGAACUACUGGGCAGCUGCGCAAACCUUUCUAUGGCUGUGUUGAAGAUAGUACUCUCCUCUGUGGUGCAACAAUAGUUGUCAUAAAGGUCAUCAAGCAAUGACGCUAACAGGGUGAACUUUGUCACCACUAUCCGCGAAUAUGAGUAAUAGGGCUCAUAAAUUGUUCCGAGAAUCCAAAAAUGUAUCUCCACCAUUCUGUCUCGUGCGAAGCUAAGGUCUGUCUUUGAGUGUAAA